rnacentral:tRNA from 1 species
GCGCCAGUAGCUCAACCGGAUAGAGCAGCGGACUUCUAAUCCGCAGGUUGAAGGUUCGAGUCCUUCCUGGCGUG